rnacentral:rRNA from 1 species
AUUGAACGCUGGCGGCAGGCUUAACACAUGCAAGUCGAGCGGAGAUGAGGUGCUUGCACCUUAUCUUAGCGGCGGACGGGUGAGUAAUGCUUAGGAAUCUGCCUAUUAGUGGGGGACAACAUUCCGAAAGGAAUGCUAAUACCGCAUACGUCCUACGGGAGAAAGCAGGGGAUCUUCGGACCUUGCGCUAAUAGAUGAGCCUAAGUCGGAUUAGCGAGUUGGUGGGGUAAAGGCCUACCAAGGCGACGAUCUGUAGCGGGUCUGAGAGGAUGAUCCGCCACACUGGGACUGAGACACGGCCCAGACUCCUACGGGAGGCAGCAGUGGGGAAUAUUGGACAAUGGGGGGAACCCUGAUCCAGCCACGCCGCGUGUGUGAAGAAGGCCUUAUGGUUGUAAAGCACUUUAAGCGAGGAGGAGGCUACUGAGACUAAUACUCUUGGAUAGUGGACGUUACUCGCAGAAUAAGCACCGGCUAACUCUGUGCCAGCCGCCGCGGUAAUAC